CAAAUCUUAAUUUUGUGACUUGGCCUCACAUUCCUGUCGUUUCAAAGUGACUCAGUUCAACGUGACCUCACGCCCUAAGCUACCAGCAUUUUCAUUAUUUGAUUUGUAGAUGUAAGAAUUUAUAAUUUUAAAAAUUAUUUUUUACUUUCAAAUUUCGAUCAUACAACAAAAUGAUUAGCAAAGAAUAUAUUUUUUCUUCUUCUUUUUUUUUUUUUUU
rnacentral:lncRNA from 1 species